rnacentral:rRNA from 1 species
AGAACGAACGCUGGCGGCGCGCCUAAUACAUGCAAGUCGAGCGAGAAGACGUAGCAAUACGUUUGUAAAGCGGCGAACGGGUGAGGAAUACAUGGGUAACCUACCCUCGAGUGGGGAAUAACUAGCCGAAAGGUUAGCUAAUACCGCGUACGCUUCUUGGACUUCGGUUCAGGGAGGAAAGCGAUACCGUGGGUAUCGCGCUCUUGGAUGGGCUCAUGUCCUAUCAGCUUGUUGGUGAGGUAACGGCUCACCAAGGCUUCGACGGGUAGCUGGUCUGAGAGGACGAUCAGCCACACUGGCACUGCGACACGGGCCAGACUCCUACGGGAGGCAGCAGUAAGGAAUAUUGCGCAAUGGGCGAAAGCCUGACGCAGCGACGCCGCGUGGGGGAUGAAGGUCUUCGGAUUGUAAACCCUUUCGGAGGAAGAUGGAACGAGACAAUCGUUCGGACGGUACCUCAGAAGCAGCCACGGCUAACUUCGCGCCAGCAGCCGCGGUAAUCUA